AUUGAACGCUGGCGGCAGGCCUAACACAUGCAAGUCGAACGAGCGGCGGACGGGUGAGUAAUGUCUGGGAAACUGCCUGCUGGAGGGGGAUAACUACUGGAAACGGUAGCUAAUACCGCAUACCAUCAGAUGUGCCCCGAUGGGAUUAGCUAGUAGGUGGGGUAAUGGCUCACCUAGGCGACGAUCCCUAGCUGGUCUGAGAGGAUGACCAGCCACACUGGAACUGAGACACAGUCCAGACUCCUACGGGAGGCAGCAGUGGGGAAUAUUGCACAAUGGGCGCAAGCCUGAUGCAGCCAUGCCGCGUGUGUGAAGAAGGCCUUCGGGUUGUAAAGCACUUUCAGCGGGGAGGCGUUACCCGCAGAAGAAGCACCGGCUAACUCCGUGCCAGCAGCCGCGGUAAUUC
rnacentral:rRNA from 1 species